rnacentral:rRNA from 1 species
CCUACGGGUGGCAGCAGUGGGGAAUAUUGCACAAUGGGGGAAACCCUGAUGCAGCAACACCGCGUGAAGGAAGACGGUUUUCGGAUUGUAAACUUCUAUCAAUAGGGAAGAAAGAAAUGACGGUACCGAAAUAAGAAGCCACGGCUAACUACGGGCCAGCAGCCGCGGUAAUACGUAGGGGGCAAGCGUUAUCCGGAAUUACUGGGUGUAAAGGGAGAGUCGGCGGCAAGGUAAGCGAUAUGGGAAAGCCUUAAGCUUAACUUAAGGAUGGCAUAACGAACUAUCUAGCUAGAGUACAGGCGCGGAAAGCGGACUUCCUAUUGUAGCGGUGACAUGCGUAGAUCUUAG